rnacentral:rRNA from 1 species
AUGGCGCCAUUGAUGCGCCUGGCCCAGCCCCAUCAUCCCACAUUUAACGCCCAUUACUCUCGGCCACCCCGCACGGCGCGCGUCAUGGUCCGGUCUGGAGGCGUCACGUCCCGCGUUGCUCGCCGGCACCAGGUCCCGACUCGUAACGAACGUACAGGUACAGGUACAGCCGUACAGGGCGUGCGGGUGGUCGCAUCGAGGCGGGGAAGGGACGGGACCUCCGGCUGUGCUCUCAGGCUCUCAGCGGCGCGCGGCGCGCAGCAGCAAGAGCAGUCAGAGAGACGACAAACAAUGAGUAUCGGGAAGGACAAGAACCAAGACUCAUCGACAAGAACAUCAACCAUCGGCCCCGGCGUUGUGCUUGGCCACGGGAUGCUGCGCACGACGCAUGCGGCAGCCUCGAAGCCUGUGACGACGGCUUGCGCGGCGCAGCACCGUCCUCCGGCGCGGCCUUGCUUUCCCUGCCGGCGAUGUUGCGCCGUUCUCCAGACGACGGCCUGCGCGUAG